CGCCUUAUACUCCUACGGGAGGCAGCAGUGGGGUAUUUUGGACAAUGGGGGCAACCCUGAUCCAGCAAUGCCGCGUGAGUGAAGAAGGCCUUCGGGUUGUAAAGCUCUUUUGUCAGGGAAGAAACGGUAGUAGCUAAUAUCUAUUACUAAUGACGGUACCUGAAGAAUAAGCACCGGCUCACUACGUGCCAGCAGCCGCGGUAAUACGUAGGGUGCAAGCGUUAAUCGGAAUUACUGGGCGUAAAGCGUGCGCAGGCGGUUGUGUAAGUCAGAUGUGAAAUCCCCGGGCUCAACCCGGGAAGUGAAUUUGAGAGUGCACGGCUAGAGUGUGUCAGAGGGGGGUAGAAUUACGCGUGUAGCAGUGAAAUGCGUAGAUAUGUGGAGGAAUACCGAUGGCGGAGGCAGCCCCCUGGGAUAACACUGACGCUCAUGCACGAAAGCGUGGGGAGCAAACAGGAUUAGAUACCCGUGUAGUCCACGUACCA
rnacentral:rRNA from 1 species